rnacentral:rRNA from 1 species
CCCAGACUCCUACGGGAGGCAGCAGUGGGGAAUAUUGGGCAAUGGGCGCAAGCCUGACCCAGCAACGCCGCGUGAAGGAAGAAGGCCCUCGGGUUGUAAACUUCUUUUGUCAGGGACGAAGAAAGUGACGGUACCUGACGAAUAAGCCACGGCUAACUACGUGCCAGCAGCCGCGGUAAUACGUAGGUGGCAAGCGUUAUCCGGAUUUACUGGGUGUAAAGGGCGUGUAGGCGGGACUGCAAGUCAGAUGUGAAAUUCCAGGGCUCAACCCUGGAACUGCAUUUGAAACUGUAGUUCUUGAGUGAUGGAGAGGCAGGCGGAAUUCCGUGUGUAGCGGUGAAAUGCGUAGAUAUUAGGAGGAACAUCGGUGGCGAAGGCGGCUUACUGGGCUUUUACUGACGCUGAGGCUCGAAAGCGUGGGGAGCAAACAGGAUUAGAUACCCGAGUA